AGUUCAUUUGUUUUAUGGAUUCUAUAUUUUCAGCUCAGCUGUUGCUGGAGAUUUAUCUGAGUCGCUCAAUGAAAUUAUGUACUAAAAGACUAAGAAGAUUGUUGAUGUCGUCAAUAAGGUCAAUGAGAAGAGAAUAAUUUUUGCUGAUGAAGGAAACAGUGCUGUUUCUACCAAUGGUGAUGAUCUUCCUCCUAUUGUUCUUGUUCAUGGGAUUUUUGGAUUUGGCAAAGGGAAAUUAGGUGCUUUGUCAUACUUUGCUAGGGAAGAGAAGAAAGAUGAAAGGGUUCUGGUUCCGAAUUUGGGGUCUUUAACCAACGUCCAUGAUAGGGCCCGAGAAUUGUUCUAUUAUUUGAAGGGUGGCCAAGUUGAUUAUGGAGAAGAGCACAGCAAGGCUUGUGCACACUCUCAAUUUGGAAGAAUCUAUUAACAAGGUUCGAGGGAUCAUUCAUUCAUUCAAUGCUUUCAUUUUGUUCUUGUUUUUUUGCACCGCACCCUGUUUUGCUUCCUUUGUAUUUUUCCAUAGAGUUUCAAUGGUGCAUUUGUUGUGUUAUU